rnacentral:rRNA from 1 species
CUGGCUCAGGACGAACGCUGGCGGCGUGCCUAACACAUGCAAGUCGAACGAAGUAUGUUUCGGAUAUGCUUAGUGGCGGACGGGUGAGUAACGCGUGAACAAUCUGCCCUAUACAGAGGAAUAGCCUCGGGAAACCGGGAUUAAAACCGCAUGACACUUUAGUAUCGCAUGAUACAGAAGCUAAAUUGAAUUAGAGGUAUGGGAUGAGUUCGCGUCUGAUUAGCUAGUUGGUAGGGUAAAGGCCUACCCAAGGCGACGAUCAGUAGCCGGCCUGAGAGGGUGAACGGCCACACUGGAACUGAGACACGGUCCAGACUCCUACGGGAGGCAGCAGUGGGGAAUAUUGCACAAUGGGGGAAACCCUGAAUGCAGCGACGCCGCGUGAGUGAAGAAGGUCUUCGGAUCGUAAAACUCUGUCCUUGGUGACGAAAAAAUGACGGUAGCCAAGGAGGAAGCCCCGGCUAACUACGUGCCAGCCGCCGC